GGAGGUUUUGGUCACGGGGACGCAGAAAUCGUGCUUCAGGAUCCAUUACGUGUCCAAGGCCUUUUGUUCUUCUUCGCAUCCGUUAUUUUCGCACAAUUUUUGGUUCUCAAAAAGAAACAGCUUGAAAAGGUUCAAUUGUACGAAAUGAAUUUCUAG
rnacentral:rRNA from 1 species